AGAGUUUGAUUCUGGCUCAGAUUGAACGCUGGCGGCAUGCCUUACACAUGCAAGUCGAACGGCAGCACGGGAGCAAUCCUGGUGGCGAGUGGCGAACGGGUGAGUAACGUAUCGGAACGUACCUUUCAGUGGGGGAUAACGUAGCGAAAGUUACGCUAAUACCGCAUAUUCUGUGAGCAGGAAAGCAGGGGAUCGCAAGACCUUGCGCUGAUUGAGCGGCCGAUAUCAGAUUAGCUAGUUGGUGAGGUAAAGGCUCACCAAGGCGACGAUCUGUAGCGGGUCUGAGAGGAUGAUCCGCCACACUGGAACUGAGACACGGUCCAGACUCCUACGGGAGGCAGCAGUGGGGAAUUUUGGACAAUGGGGGCAACCCUGAUCCAGCCAUGCCGCGUGAGUGAAGAAGGCCUUCGGGUUGUAAAGCUCUUUCAGCCGGGAAGAAAUCACAUGGGUUAAUACCCUGUGUGGAUGACGGUACCGGAAUAAGAAGCACCGGCUAACUACGUGCCAGCAGCCGCGGUAAUACGUAGGGUGCGAGCGUUAAUCGGAAUUACUGGGCGUAAAGCGUGCGCAGGCGGUUUGUUAAGAUAGGCGUGAAAUCCCCGGGCUCAACCUGGGAACUGCGUUUAUGACUGGCAGGCUAGAGUAUGGCAGAGGGGGGGUGGAAUUCCACGUGUAGCAGUGAAAUGCGUAGAGAUGUGGAGGAACACCGAUGGCGAAGGCAGCCCCCUGGGCCAAUACUGACGCUCAUGCACGAAAGCGUGGGUAGCAAACAGGAUUAGAUACCCUGGUAGUCCACGCCCUAAACGAUGUCAACUAGGUGUUGGGUGGGUAAAACCAUUUAGUACCGGAGCUAACGCGUGAAGUUGACCGCCUGGGGAGUACGGCCGCAAGGUUAAAACUCAAAUGAAUUGACGG
rnacentral:rRNA from 1 species